AUGUCAUCGGAUAGUGAAAGUGAUGAUGACACAAAUUAUGAAAGAAAGAAAAUUAUGGUUUUCCAAUAUCAACAUGAUAUGGACAUGCGUUGUUCGGGUGUGUCAUCCAUAGUUGGGAAGUAUUGUAAAAGUUGGGUCAUGAAGGCCGACCCUAGGACAUCUAGGUUGAGUGGGUUUGAAUGGUUGCAAGAGACUAUUGGAACACCCGGAGAGACGUACACAAUGUUGAGAAUGAAUGCAAAUGUGUUUUUUGAUCUUCAUGACAAGUUGGUGGGGGAGUAUGGCCUCAAAGAAACAUGCUUCGUUACCACUUAUGAGUCUCUAGCUAUGUUCUUGUGGACCUUGGGAGGGUGCGAAUCAAAUAGGAGAACCCAAAACCGUUUCAAACAUGGAGCGGAUACAGUCCACCGAAAGUUCCAUGAGGUUCUACAAUGUGUGGUCAAGAUGUCAUCUCACUACAUUAGGCCUCAAGACCCAAAUUUUCGCAUCGUGCAUGAUAGGAUUAAGCGUGACAAAAGGGCUUAUCCUCAUCUCAAAGACUGCAUUGAUGCAAUAGAUGGGACACAUGUCAGGGCUUCUAUUCCGGAAGGACCUUCAAAAGUAAGGUAUAUUAGAAGAACAGGUGCAACAACUCAGAAUGUGAUGGCAGUAUGUGACUUUGAUAUGCAUUUCACCUACGCUUCAAUUGGACAACCGGGUUCUAUGCAUGAUACAAGUGUGUUAUUCCAUGCAAUCGAAAAUGACAAGGCCACAUUCCCGCAUCCUCCAAAGGGCAAGUAUUACCUAGUAGACGCCGGCUAUCCUAACAGGGAUGGCUAUCUAGCACCAUACAAAGGAGAACGCUAUCAUGUCCCCGACUUCCAGAAAGGUGCACCCCCAACUACUCCUAUAGAAAAGUUCAACCGGAUCCACUCCUCCAAGCGCAAUACCAUAGAGAGAACUUUUGGUGUUUGGAAGAUGAAAUGGCAAAUCUUGCUUAAGAUGCCAAACUACUCAAUUGUUGCGGCUACUAUGACACUACACAACUACGUUCGCCUCCAUGACAAAGAGGAUCUCCACUUUCUUCGGUGUGAGAGGGAUCCGGAUUAUGUUCCAACUAUUCCAGAUAGAUACAAGAAAUACGUUAUUCCUCCAAAUGCAUCAGAUGCUUCAACAUCGGCGGAAAGUACUCCUAAUAUGGAUUUGUUUAGGCAUGAACUUGCUACCGCCAUUGCUCUUAGUUGGUGA
rnacentral:rRNA from 1 species